rnacentral:lncRNA from 1 species
ACAUGUUUAGGUAUACAGUAGUUGGAAAUUUUAAAUGUUCUAAGCUGGAUUGAAAUCAGAUAGUACCAUACUUGGCAAUGCUAAUUGCUUCUGGGUUCAGAAAUCAGAACCACGCUUGUUCAGUAAGGACUUCCACUGUAGCAACUCGCAAAUUCCAUGAACCUAACCAUGACUUUAAAGUUUGAUUAACUCAGCUUCUGCACUUGAUCGAUUGAGUUGCAGCAGCAGCCAGCAAGGGAGGAACCAGAUUGGCAAAGGUAACUGCAACUUUGUUAGGCAAGUAUGUAAAUCUGCCUGUGCAAAUCCAAUACCCCCAUGCCCCCAUCCUGAGAGUGUUGGCAUUUUCUGAAAACAUCUAUACAAACAAGUUGGAAACAUCAAUUUUUGGACUUGGAAGGUCGUGCCCAGUAGUAGAGAGAGAGAGAGAGAGCUGCCUUCUGAUCUGAUCAUAUUGUGGUCCAAUCCUAUAUCCUGUGAGUCCUGUCCACUGUCCAGGCGAACUGGCGGUGACCCAUUUUCAUGUGCCAACAGAGCUAUCAAGUAUUCAAUAAAUCCAUGCAUAUGCAUAAUUUGAUGAAAUUAUCACCUUCAGUAUUCAGUACUAUAGCAUAGUUUGAUAGAAAGCCACAUUUACCAUACUCCACUAUGACAUGUACCAACCAUUGUCAUUUACUUUCUUGAUUUGAUGCCAAGCUGAUUUGUUUCAUGAUUCUGAUUUCUGACCCUUUACCAAAUUACUCCAUUAUUAACUUUCUUUGCCAUACUCAUUAGUCAUUACUAGUGGUAGGUUCAUCACAAAAUUACUUUGAAAGAAAAGAAUCAAACCUAAUAAGUGUUUAUGAGUAUAUCACACAAAUGGCAAAUGUGUUAUAUAUAUCCCCAGAAGACUCGAUCUCAUGCAUUCACAAGUAUCCAAGACUUAGAAACUUUAUCAUCCAAACAUUCAUGAUGCCUUGAUGCCUGCAUGUUUAGUACUGAAGGAAAGUCUCUCCAAAGCACUAAACCAAACUUGCUCCACACAUUGAACUGAAUCCCUGUAUUCAUGUCAACUUUGGUAAAUCAAGAUAUCAGCUCACAGAUAAAUUUAUCAAUCAAAUCAGAAGGACAAAUUUAUGAGGGUGGGGGUGGGGGUGGGGGGAGUGGGGGACUACUGACUACUUGACUAGGGUCAUAUUAGGCCACGUUGGAUCGAAAAGACAACAAACGUACAGAAUCCAUAGAGAAUUAUUGGUCUGGUACUCUGGUGUGUAAAUGUAAGUGUGAUGAGUAGUAGUAGUAGUAGUGGUAAAUGAUCAUGCAUGGUGAUGGUGGAUCACAUGGUGAAUGUACUCCACAGAGCUGAGACAUCUGCAUCUAGGGUCCAUAAGUAAAUUAUAAUUGAUAGUAUCUGAUGAUCUUGUCUGCUCCAAUUUGGUAAAUAGUUAUUACUUUCUUUCUAUUUAUGAACUACAUGUCAAGAAAUUAAACAGUUCUUGUGUUAAAUCAUCAUAUGUGUCUGUCAGAAUGAAAUACCAUAGUAGUAAAGAUGCCAAUUUACUGGUUUCUUACAAGCUUUUCAACCUGAGGUUAGAAUUCAUCAGCAAAAAGUUUGUUAAAGUUGCAUACUUGCAUUGUUAAUUAUUUGUUGACAUUCCAGAGAAAGAUCUCAUUCACUACAGAGAAACAAUGAGAGGUUGCAAAUAGCCACAUUUGUUGGAAGAAUGUGAAUAUAUAUAUAAUGCAGGGUAAUGUUACUUAUUACUUCAUGGAAUAUGGACAUAAACAAAUGCAGACUCAAUCAUUUCAAGUCACAUGUAAUCUCAUCUCAAAGGAAAAAUUCAGUCUUAUAUUGAUAAUAACCAGUCAUCAGUCUUAUAUUGAUAACCAGUCAUUUAGGGUCAAGAUACUCUUAAUUAUGUCUACAAUAUUGACUAAUAAGAGAAUGGCUGAGAAGAUCUGUUAGGAUAGAAGCAUUCCAUUAGCUAGGCAUUAGAGCUGAGUAACACUUUGAAAACAGUUGAAGAGGUUAGUGGUAGGACUAAAAAGUUAUAUAUAAUAGAAGGUAUGUUACAUGUUUUAAGAGACAAAGCAGCCAACCAAAAAUCCAAUCAUAAAGAACACAUGAUGUACUAAAAGAUUAAUAAUUUAGCUAAUCCAAAAACUAUUAUUCGAGAGAACUCUAAUGUUAGGUCACUACACAUCAUGUUAUUUCUUCCUAGAAGAGCAUAUUCUAGCUACACUGCUAGAGUAUGGUGAGAUGAAUUAUUUAAGAACAGUUCAUGACUUGAGUAAGGAGACUGUGUGAGAGUACUGUUAUAGUUGAACAUAAUUAUAUGGAAACAAUAGGUUAAUUUACUUUAUAUUAAGCACAUGCAUGUAAGGGUUUCUUGCUAAACUCAAAAUUUCCAAGACCCUAGCAACAAGAAUAGUAGAAUACACACUUGGCACUAUUUUUUAUUUAAUUUAUAUAAAUAUUUUUUAAAUAAACUAAAUUCUAUUGUAUUACAGGUAGUAUAUAUAUGAUUAGUAGAGUUGGUUUUGAACCUUUGAUUGGGGGUGAUGUUAUUCAGUUUUGUACUUUUGUAGUUUGUUUACCUUAAAUUUCACAGUCCUCUUGAUUACCAGUCAUUUUUGGUCAAGAUACUAAUUAACUAACUAUACUUAGAUUAAGUAAUGGACUUGAAAGAAAGUCCGUUAUACUUUGGAAACAGUUGAAGAUGUUGGUACUAGGGCCAUUUAGCAAUUAUAAUAAGCAUUAUGUUAUAGGUUCAAGAGACAACACCAACUAAAAUAACAAUGAAAAACUCUAAACAUAGGUAGCCGUUAUUUCGUGCGAAAUGGUUUGGUACAUUACGGUGCGGACAAAUAUGGACCAAGCAUUUUUUCACGUGUAGAAACUUAACAACCUGUUACCUGUAUUAUGUAAUACAGUCAGCAUUGACUAGAGAAGGAAAAGUUUAUUACAUAAACCUUUCUAACCUGUUACCAAGUAAUGCAUAAACAGGUGUGUGGCUGAGAAUGGAUUUCGCACCAUAAGUACUAAGUUUUUUCGCAUUGAAUAAAAGUUCAAACAUAGGAGCACAUGAAGGGCUAUAAGAGCAAUAAUAAUGCAGGGUAUAAAAACAAGGAUGUAAAACCGAACACAUCGGCAUCACCUAGGCUAGGUAAGAUUUUACACCCUCCCAGGUCCCAAAUUAGGGUAGGUAGGAUUUUACACCCUCCUGGGUCCCAAAUUAGGGUCUAAAUUAAGAGAGUGGAUUCUUCCCAACCCAAAGAUGAAAGAUGAAGAGAGGGGCAUGUAUCAAAAUUUAUGUGUGCACAGAAGUUCAUGUUCCGUUGGGCUAUUUUAAUACACCUAUACGGAACUUCAACUUCAGUUUCACUAAUUUAAACCCAUUUCAUUAAUUUAAAUUUAUAUGGAACUUCUAAGUUCUGAUUCACUAAUUUAAACUCAUAUAAAGUUUGAUUUCAUAACUUAAAUUCAUAAGAAACUUCAAGUUUCAUUCCAUCAUUUAAAAUAAAUCAAAUGAAACUUCAAGUUUCGUCUGAAUUUUUUAGAAAUAAAAUAGAACUUUAAAGUUCAGUUUGCUUUAGGGGUUUACGGGUGUGGAUCCAUCAUCCAUAUCCCCAUUUACACCCAUACUUCUUCCACCUUCUAUUUUACACCUCCGAUUUUUUUUAUUUUUUAAUUAAAAUUUUUCUUUCAUAAAAUUAAAGCUCAAGAACACGAUCAAGAUCCCCAAAAGUAUGGUCAUUCGAGGGAUUACAGAAACAAGGUUUAUCCUAAAAGGACAAACUAAAAAAAAAAUCAUCUCCUCAACAAACUCAAGCCUAACCAAGGAAAAACAAUCCAAAACAACCAAGAAAGCAAAAAAAAAAAAAAAACAAAGACCAAAGAUGAGUACUUGCCGCUUAUGAGUAGCAACUUACACCUACAUCUUAACCCCCCAAAGGUUUAGUGAAAAAGCACCCAAUGACCAAUGAUAGAAAAACAACCAGGAAGAAAGAAAAGGUUAGUAACGAAAGAGUCUUUGAAGAGCCAAAUCGAUUGAGGUGUUGAGGACAAGGUAUAAAUUGAAAUCCAAAACAAGAUCUCUUAGGGAGUAAGUAAGAACAUAUAAAUCACAAACAACUAAAGGGGAAUAAAAAACCAUCAAGAAGAUCAGAGAUGAGUAUUUGCCGCCUAGAAUAGUGGCUUGCACCUAAAACCUAGAUGUGAAUUGAAAAUGAAGGCCUAAAGGUUAAUUUGUGAGAAAACACAUCAAAGCCAACCGAUCAAAUUCGAAACCCCAAGAGAAUCUAGAUCUGAAAUUCCACCACAAAAGAAUAUUGGAAUAAAGAAUGAGAAAAACUACUCCAAUAAGCAUGAAGAAAAUAGUUUUCACUUGACAUUUAAAGAGAGAAUUUUUUUAAAUAAAAAUUACUUCUCUUAAAAAUAGAUCUGAAUUGAAAUUGAAGAACCCUGGAGGAAUAAAGUUUGGAUCUUUACCAUAGUAUCAUCAUUUAAAAAGAAAGAAGAAGUAAACGAAUCGAAAGACCAGCCACUGACACCAGUUAUCAGAGGUCGACGCCGGUAGCUGGGGGUUUAUCUUUUGAAAGUUUGUUAGAAUUGUAUCUUAUUAAUGGGGUCACUCUUCAGAAAGAACUUGCAGCGCAGUUUGUAGCACGUUUGUCUACACUUUCCAUUGGAAUGGCUUUUUAGGUGUAAAUACACACCCCUACCUUGAUUUACACCCUACAAUGGUAUUGCUCUAAAAUCAAUAAACUAAUAUAAAACCAUUAUUAACACCCCACCCCCCCCUAAGGUAUCUCUCUAGGGUUUAAUUUCCACAAAUUAGAACUUGCUAGCUAGUUUCUAUCAAAAGUAACGUGCUGAAAAAUGUCAACCAAAAGCUUAAGAACACAUACCAAGCAGCCUAAACGAAGUUUGACAUGCAUUUUUUGUUGGGCCUCUUGGUUAAACCAUACAACCAUAGGUGAAAAUAUCGAAUAAUCUCGAAUAUCUGAUUCAUGAAAAAUCGGAUUAUUCCACGAAUAUCCCAAGCCUAGUGUCAAAAUGGGGAGGUUUGGCAAAUAUACUACUCGCGAAAUAUUGCUCGAAUAUUCGUGAAUAUUCUAAAAAUUUCGACAGAAUGGGGAGGUUUUCAGCUAAUAUCAUUUUUUCUUCUUCUUUCAAUGUAUAAACUUAUAAUUCAAGAAAAGACAUACAUUUUAAAUUAAACACUUAGCAAGUCAUACAAAUACAAAAAGAAAAUGGAUGAGAUCAUGUAUCUCAGGUGAUCAAUUUGCAGAGCUCCACUUGAUUUUGUGUAAACUAACACUAAUAAGAUGAACCUUGUGUUUUUUUCUUUCUUCAUCCCCACCAAAAAAAAAAAAUAAAAAUAAACAUCUCAAUAGAAUAAAUAUACUGGUAGUAUUUUAUUUCAUAACUUCUCAAUAAAGUAAAUAAAAGUUUAAUACCUAGUACACACAAGAAAGCUAGCUAAGACACUAUUACGCUAGAUAUUUUUACUUUAUACAUGUCCAAUGAUAUCAUAUAUUGAACAAAAAAAGUGAGGAAACAAGUUUGUUACUUUUGUGGUUCUUCCCUCUCUUGUCAAGUCAUUGAAAAUGAUGGAAUGAUAUCAAUAGCCAAAACUGAAUGACAAGAAGCCACGACCUGCAUAUAUUAUUUCAAAUUAGGUUGAGAAUUUGAGACGAUGAUAAUUAGAACUUUGGUUGAGAUAAUGAUGAUGAGAGGUGAUUUCGAUUUGGGUUGAGAUGAGGAUGAUGAGAUAAUUUCAAAAGUUGUGAUGAUGAUGAUGAUGAGAGAUGGUAGAGAUAAUGAUUCUACAUUUAUCGAUGAAUAUUAAAAUUCAAAAUUGUAAGUAAUUAGAACCAUUGAAAUUUGAAAAAAAAUGGUGGUAUUUGGCUAUUUACAGACUUGAGGAAAACAACCCAAAGAUUUCGAAUUUUUCAAAAAAUUUGUAUUUUUCGAAAUUUUCGUGAAUAUCCGUAUAUAUUGGGUCGAAAUGGGAAUGUUUUUUAUUUGUUUUAUAUUCGUAUGUCGUACCGCUCCGAAUCCCAAAAAAACAGAAAGAUUCGUGAAUAUUCGCCCGCAAUUUUUUAUUUUUUCACCUAUGCAUACAACAACUAUGUUACACACUUACAUGCACCUGAGUCUAGUCAUCAAUAUUUUCAAUGUACAUGUCUAAGUAGUACAGUCUUGAAAAUAUGUACAGUCUUGAAAAUAUCCACUGGAUACUGAAAUUGGUCACAUUUUCUUUUUCUUGUCUGCCUUAAGACUAUCUCCAACAGUUUUCCUUUUUUUUUUUUUUGCCAUAUCUCUAUUUUUUAGGUGCUAAAGUGGAGGAAAAGGUAGUUUGGCCUCCAGUAGUUUUUCCUAUGCCUAUCACUAAAAAUAUAAUUUUAGAGGUAAAAAUGGAGAAACCAUUGGACAUGGUUGUUUUCUCUAUUUUAUUAAAUCUACUUUCCAAUUAUACCCUUUUGGAAGAAAAACACAAUUUUAGCAUAAUAGUAAUCUUAUUCAAAUGAUACUAUUAAAACACAAACUUAAAAACACUUAAACACAAAAUAUUAGGAUAAUUUUAUGUUUUAUUUUUCUUUAUAUGUUGACAAAUUAAUUAACAUUUUUAUUUUUAUUAUAAUUAAUUAUAUUUUAACUAAAUUAUUACCCACAAAAAAUAUGGAUGAGAUUUCAUCAUGGAUAUGUAUAUGAAAUCCAAAUAUGUAUACAUACACCAUGAACAUAUAUGUAAAAACAAAAAAUAAGUAGUUGAACACAAUGAUUGGACACAAUGAGUGGUAAAUGCUUUCUCUAAUUGCUAUUUUCAUUUUUUAAUUAGAUGUUAAAAUAGCAUUUGGGACUCCGAAAGAAAAUAGAGAAUGGAGGACUGUUGGACAUAAGAAUAUAUGAGUUUUUUUUGUCUCUUUGUGAGAUAAAAUAGAGAAUGGAGGACUGUUGGAGAUGGUCUAAGCAUAUGGUCCUUAUAAUCAAAUGCAAUUGAAUUCUGGACUUCUAGCAUGUGCUUUGAUUAGUGUCAAUUGUAUGCUCAACAGUAUUAUAGAUAUGAAUCACUAUAAUUGCCAUUACUAAUUCUAAUUAGUACAUGCAAUCAAUCUCAUAUACCAAUAUAUAUAGUAUAUAUGAUGUUGAUCUCAGAAAGGAAAUUGACAAUAUGACAUGAUAUCUCUUACAUAGUUGUAUAACAAGUUAAAAAGGCCUAUUCUCGACUACAUAAGACUUGUAGAAUUAAUAUAUAAUUGAUGUUUAAAAGUGAUUAGAGGCGCAAAAACAUGCAUCCUUGUUCCUAGCUAUGAAUGGCAGUUAUAGUUGUGGACUUCUGGUGAUGUUUAGAAAUUAGAACAAGUGAAUACAUUUUGUUUGCAGUUCUUCACAAACCAAAUACAUAUCUUUCGACAAUCUCCUGAAAUUCUGCACUGUGAAUUAGCUCGUUUAGGUAAGCAUUCCUACUGAAUUAGCUCAUUUACACCAAGAAUUGAACUUAGGGAACCUAUAUUGUUUCAAGUCGUUUUCAGAUUAAAUGGAUACAAUAUGUGGUAAUUGGUUAAAAAUGAGUAAUUCUAAAGUGACAACCACUUUAGUCAGACUCGAAAACCAGACCAACGUGUCUGCUGAUGUGGAUGGUCCACCUCAGCAAAAAAAUUUGUUCCUCUCUCUCUGCGUCCUUUUGUUUUGCAUCUCUCUCUUUCUUUUCCAGAGCACUUUUCUCUUUCAUAAAUUAACACAAAUUGAAACUUCAUUUAUGUUUUUUUUUUUUGUGUUUAGAAAUCAAUUCAGGCUCGAAUCAAUUAUAUUUCUCAUCUAAUUUCUCUUCAAAAUCUUAUCUAAGCUAGAUAUACCAAACGGGUAAGAUGUUGGGUUUCUUAACUUGAAAUUUUCUAAGAAAUUGACCUUUAAAUUGAAAAUCAGUUGAGGACAACAAUACUUUGAGGAAAGUUCCAAAUUGGUUACUAAUGAGCACCACUCUUUGUUCAAUUAAAUGAUUCUAUUAUUUUUAUAGUAAAAAAUAUUGAUGAAUGUGGUACAAAAAAUGAACACCAGUAGCAACUAACGAUAGAUAAUGUCUUCAUUGAUCAACUAGCAAAAGAGAAAACCCCAAAAAUUCUUUAGAAGAUUGAGAAACAUGACCAGGUUUAAUUUAUAAUAGAGAAAGAUAAGCAGGUUGAGACUAGAGAGAGAUUGAGAGCAAAGUUAAGUUUAGAGAGAGAAACCAUAUGCACAAAGAUUUUUCUGGCGAGAAGAUUUCGGAGAGAGAGAAGUGCGAAGAGAAUAAAUUUUUUUUUUUGCUGAUUUGGAAUAUCCACGUCAGUCUGGUUUUGGAGUCUGGCAAAGAUGGUUGUCAGUGUAGCACCACUCGUUAAAAAUAUAAGUAUAUAGCAUGGCUUAUGUGCCACUCAUUGAUUUUUGUCAGCUUAUCUAGUAUCCAGAGCUUGGCAACAUGCUGUUCGUUCAUCCCUGAUGUCUAACCCCUUGCGGGGUAAACCAUGGCUUGUAGUUCAUAUUCAAAACCCUCGCAAUCGUACCUUAACAACUAGGCAUGCAUACGAUCCAUAUUCCCAAUCUUGGAAUCUUAUUCCAUGUAAAUACAUUACAUAAAAAAUGACAAGUCGUGAUGGAGAAUGCAAAAUAAAAGUAAAUAGACACAUGAAUUUUACGUGGUUCGGCAAUGGUGCCUACGUCCACGGGAGAGAUAAGUGUAUUUUAUUGAUAUGAGAUGAGAGAAGCUAGAGAGCUUGUGAGGAGCUAGAGAGAGCUUCACCUCUUUCAUAUGAAAUAGAUCCCUUUAUAUAGAUAGGGAAUUACAUGUGUGAUAUUCAUAUUGAUUUUGUAACGGAAAAUAACGGACAUAUAAUAAUGAGAAUAUAUUUGAUAUUGAUCUUAUAGUUGGCAUUAAUAUGCAUUGCCACGUAAGCGCCACACGAGCUCAUGAGUCACCGAGUUGGAGUAUGAUUUGUACUGCAUGUCGGGUGAUGUAACUCGAUUGAAGUCGGAUGAAAUAAGUGCAGAGUCGGUGUUUAGUAUACCGAGUUAGUGAGAUUAGGAUUUGAAUGGAGAUGAGUGAAGUGUGAUUAGAUACGAAGUCGGAUGAAAUAAGUGUAAAGUCGGUGUUUGGCAUUCCGAGUAAGAGAACUUGGUAAUGGGUAUAUACAUUCCAUGUGCAUUUACUCCAUUCACAAUGCCGAUCCGGUCUUCUCAUUGGUGUCUCCUUUACAUGCUCACCCCCUCAAAGCUUAAAUUCUCUGUCGAUGCACUAAACAUCACAUGGUAUGAUGUGGAGGGUCCAAGAGUGUGGAGAUCAGAUCCAGUAGUGGCAUUUCUUGGAUCGUGCCUCCUUAUUGUUGGCGGGACACAAUAUUUUGAGGACGACACACUGGUAGUCGGGGUCUACAACAUGGAAUCACGCUGAUGGGAUAUGUGUAGGCCUGUCAACUAUCCAAACUGAUCCAUGAUCCAAACCGAUCCAAAACCGAUCCAAUCCAUUACUUUUCUGUUUUGGAUAUCCAUUUGGAUUAUUGGUAGGGGUGUUAUGUGAGCUGAGCAGCUCGAGCUCGGCUCGUGUUCGGCUCGAUUAAAGCUCGGCUCGGGCUCGCUCAUUUUGUAAAACGAGCCAAGCUUGAACAGAUUUUAGGCUCGGCUCGAGCUCGAGCCGAGCCCCAGCUUUAUUCGAGCCGAGCCGAGUAGCUCGAGUUUAUAUAAGUUAGAUUACCAACCUACCCCCACUAAUAUAUCUUAUUCCUAUCCUACCCCAGUAUAUAUCGCUUCUCCUUCUUCUGGAGUUCUGGAAACCUAGCCGCCCGUCUCCUUCUUCUUCUCUACCGACUCAAUCUAACAUCUUCAUCUCCAAUUCAUUGGUGGUAGCUUCUGGAAUUAGAGGCUUAGAGCUGGUAAUUUGCUUCUCUUCUUCUUCUUUUAAUCUUUCUCUUUCUCUUCUUCCUUCCAAUAAAAUCAACACAAAGGUAAUUCAAAAUUCAAAUUCACUUCACUUUGUUCUUCUUUCUUUCUUUCUUUCUAAGUUCUUGGUUUCUGUUUUUGUUUAUUCUGUAAUGUUCAGAUCAUUCGUUAGAAUUCAUUUAGUUUAGUGUUUGGGGUUGAAUAGAAUUGGGUUUUGGGGAAAUGGGUUUGUUUGAAGUUUGAUUAAUAUGUUUUUGUUAAUUUUAAAUUGACAAAUUAAUGUACCAAAACAUACUCUUCAAUUGGUUCAUAUGAACAGACUAUAGCGUAAUCAGAUUCUUAUUUGUAUUUUUGUUGUUAGUUUUAUACUUAUAGCCUCAUUUUUAAUCUAUAUAAUUUUGUUUACUUGUGUUCCUGUUUCCAAACAUGGAAAUGUUUAUCAUUUUUGUUGGGUUUAUGAUUCUUUGUUUAAGCGAAUUGGGUUUCAUUUCAAUGAUUCUUCUUCUUUUUCAGAAAAAGGCUGCAAACGAGCUAAACGAGCUUGGAGGGCUCGAGCUCGAGCUCGAGCCUAAACGAGCUUGGAGGGUUCGAGCUUGAUUCGAGCUAAACGAGCUUGGAGGGCUCGAGCUUGGCUCGAGCUAAACGAGCCUAACGAGCUCGAGCUCGAGCUUGAUAAAUAGCUCGCGAGCCGAGCUUGAACAUAAAACCAGGCUCGAUUCAGAAAUUGGGCUCGGCUCGGGCUCGGCUCGUAUUAAAACGAGCCGAGUAUGAGCAUUCAAAGCUCGGCUCGCUCGGCUCGAAUAACACCCCUAAUUAUUGGAUCACAUGAAAUGGUUUUUGGAUAUCCAUUAUGUUUUUGGAUCGGUUUGGAUAAUAAUAGAGAGAAAACCAAUCCGAUCCAAUAUCAAAAAAACAACAAAUUUCACUCGAUCUCUCUCUUUCCCCUAACUUUACCUUCUCAGCGUCUCUCUUCAUCUUCUCAAUCCGAUCUCUCUUUUGUUCUUAAAAUUAUAAUCAAUUUCCCCAAACUUGAAGAAUUUCGAUCAAAUCAUCAUCAUCAAUUUCGAUAUCUCUUUUGUUCGUCACUGCUGCCAUCGAAGAGAUUACUUGAACUAAGUGCAUCGAAGUCAAACAACGAUAAAGUACUUCAGGUAUACACUUCUCCUCUUUUUUCUGCAAAAACCCAUUUCAAAUCUACAAUUAGCUCAGUAGUAUCUAGCAAGAAUUCGAUUCAAUCCGUUAAAGGGUCUGUUAAAUCAAUGAAAUUAAAUAAUGGGUUGGAAAAAUCUGGAAGAAUGGUAUAUUUAACAAACUCUUUUCUUCUGCUCUUCCUGCUCUAAUAUUUUAGAUGAAACUUGUGUUGUUUUGGUUGAGUGUUUCAUAUGUUCGAUUUUGAAUAGAAAAAAAUAUAUAUAUUAAAAAUAGUAGUAUCAGGUCGGCAACCAAACUCCCCCAUCUUUCUCAACAGCCCCAACGCUUCGUCAGCAAGCUUGGCCUCUCCACACAAAUUUAAAACAACCUUAAAUGUCUUGACAGAAACCAAACGAUUUUCCAUCCUGUAACUUUCUAAAACAUCACUUAUGGUUUGCGGUUUUUGAUGAAUUUCAAAAAGUUUACAAGCUUUGUUAAACAUGCAUGAGGUGUGCCUGUAGUCAGGUUGAAGACCAGCCCAAAUAAAGAAUCGAAGGCCUAAGAGAGAAGAUCUGUUUAUAGAACAUCUUUUCAAAAUAAUUUCCACAAUCGAAGAAUCCAGUUUUCCUCUAACAUUUGUCAGAGUUUUCUCGAGAUUUGUUUGGGAAUCAUUGCUUCUCUGCAAGAGUUUCCAGUAAUUCUCUACACUAGAUGAGCUGCUGUAUGGUCGCACCACCAUUAAUGAAUAAUUGGGGUUUUGAAAUAGGAAGGUGGUCAACAAAUAUCUGGAGACUAAAUUGUUUGCCAUGAAGUUAGUACAAUAAGGUAGUAUACUGUAACGUGGUGACGAUCUACUUGACUCGAGGACCUGUAAGAUAGUAGAUUGCCACCAAAAGAAAACCACAAUAAGAUAAGUUUUUUGAAAUUUUGUUUAAGACAAUAAUCUAAUCGAACAGAAUAUUAGCACAUAUAAAAUGACCAAUCCAAUGAAAGCCAUAUAAAAUUUAGUAGCUACAAUUCUACAAACAUGUCAUAAACAAUCACAUUACAUGAGACUAAAUGUUAAAAGAAAAUCAUUCAAACACAACCAGUUCAUACACAAUUGGAUACCCAGUGAAAGCGUAAUAUUGUUGUUUAUUUAGAGAAGAAAAAACAACAAAAUUAGUGCACAACAGGGUUUAAAUGUAAACAAGAACACACUCAAUGAGUGAAUGAGAACAUUUUGGCAACACACCUUGGUGAUCAAAAUACAAUAAUUCUACACAACAAUCUUAGCUUGAUAAGAUCAUAAGAUCAACUCAGAGCCCCAAACCCCAAGUCUAAAAGAAGAGGAUUAGAAUAAAAAUAAGAUCAACUAUGAAAUCAAAGUUUUAUGAAAGGGGUUGUGUCGCGUAAUGUGGGGUUUCUUCAACAAACCCAAAUCAGAAAUUGAGAAAUCCUACAUUCAUAUAAACUAGAUAGCUAGUAAUUGAAAUCACCAAAAACAAUAAGAAUGUCAUUUCAUAUACAAGAAAAAGAAAUCACUCUAGUCUUGGCAUCAACUCAAAUGAGAAGAACACACCUUUCCUUUCCUUCUUCGCUUCACGUUCGUUGACAGAGAAAUGAGAACUGAACAAUACUAUACAACACUUUUUGGGUAUUGUGGACUGGAUCAAUCUCAAAAGCCCGUAAUAAAAGCCCAAUAAAACAAUAGUAUGAAUAGAGUAGCAGAAGUGCUAUAAAAGAAAAUUUUCCAGCUCGAGCCAAAUUCAUCUCCUACAGCAGAAGACGUUUUUGGGUAUUGUGGACUGGAUCAAUCUCAAAAGCCCGUAAUAAAAGCCCAAUAAAACAAUAGUAUGAAUAGAGUAGCAGAAGUGCUAUAAAAGAAAAUUCUCCAGCUCGAGCCAAAUUCAUCUCCUACAGCAGAAGACGUUUUGAAGAUCAUUAAAAUCUACCUUGGAGUUGGAGGAUGUAAAUAGGCCUGUCAACUAUCCAAACUGAUCCAUGAUCCAAAUCGAUCCAAAACCGAUCCAAUCCAUUACUUUUCUGUUUUGGAUAUCCAUUUGGAUUAUUGGAUCACAUGAAAUGGUUUUUGGAUAUCUAUUAUGUUUUUGGAGCGGUUUGGAUAAUAAUAGAGAGAAAACCAAUCCGAUCCAAUAUAAAAAAAACAACAAAUUUCACUCGAUCUCUCUCUUUCCCCUAACUUUACCUUCUCAGCGUCUCUCUUCAUCUUCUCAAUCCGAUCUCUCUUUUGUUCUUAAAAUUAUAAUCAAUUUCCCCAAACUUGAAGAAUUUCGAUCAAAUCAUCAUCAUCAAUUUCGAUCUCUCUUUUGUUCGUCACUGCUGCCAUCGAAGAGAUUACUUGAACUAAGUGCAUCGAAGUCAAACAACGAUAAAGUACUUCAGGUAUACACUUCUCCUUUUUUUUCUGCAAAAACCCAUUUCAAAUCUCCAAUUAGCUCAGUAGUAUCUAGCAAGAAUUCGAUUCAAUCCGUUAAAGGGUCUGUUAAAUCAAUGAAAUUAAAUAAUGGGUUGGAAAAAUCUGGAAGAAUGGUAUAUUUAACUAACUCUUUUCUUCUGCUCUUCCUGCUCUAAUAUUUUAGAUGAAACUUGUGUUGUUUUGGUUGAGUGUUUCAUAUGUUCGAUUUUGAAUAGAAAAAAAUAUAUAUAUUAGGUAAUUACAGUGAUUCAUUGUAAGAUGUCGGUCCCUUCGUCGAUGGAUUCUAUUGACGGGGUUAGUAAUUCAUCGAAGAGAAAAAAACUUAGUGGAUCACAAAACACUUUGAGGUCUAAUGUAUGGUUAGAGUUCGAGAGAAGUAAAGAUAAGCAAAGUGCUAUUUGUAAACAUUGUAAAGAAACCUUUAGGGUCAAUGGAACUUCUAGCUUGCGAAAUCAUUUGAAUAGAUGUUUUAUGAAAAAACAAAAUGAAUCAGGUCAAGAACGGAGUAGAAAAGAUGAGGGAACUCCUUCGACUAAGAUGAUCAAAUUUUGUCAAGAACGGAGUAGAAAAGAUCUUUCUGGGAUGAUUGUUAAACAUAAUUACCCGUUUUCGAUGGUUGAGCAUGAGUAUUUUAGAAAGUUUGUGAACAAUCUUCAACCACAAUUUGAUUUAAAGCAUCGAAAUACAGUUCGAGGUGAUAUUGUGAAAUUAUACAAGGAAGAGAAAAAUGCACUUUAUAGUAUUUUGGGAAAACUUUCAAGUCGGGUUAGUUUGACAACUGAUUUGUGGACAACACAGUGCACAAGAGAUUCGUAUAUGUGUUUAACUGUUCAUUAUAUUGAUGAUGAUUGGGUUUUAAGGAAUAAGAUAUUAAAUUUUCGAUUAAUGGAUUGUUCUCAUACUGGAAGUGAGUUAGAAAGAAUUAUAAUGAAAUGUUUGCUUGAUUGGAAUGUCGAUAAAAAGGUAUCUACUAUUACUGUUGAUAAUGCUUCAUCGAAUGAUGUGAUGGUUAGUUUGUUAAAGGCCAAUCUCAAUCAAGACAAGUUGUUAGUUUUUAAUGGAAAGUUUUUCCACAUUCGUUGUACAACACAUAUUCUAACCCUCAUUGUCAAAGAUGGAUUGUCAGCCAUGGGGAAUACGCUUGAAAAGGUUUCUUCUACAUUCUGCACCUUUGAUAUAGAUACAAAGUCUGACAUGGGGACAUAUGUGUACCAUAAAACUAACCAACUGCAUCUAUUUUUCUCUCUCUACUCGGAUAUUCAAAGAGAAAUUAAAACUGGUUCUAAUUGGAUUGCUUAGUGAAGUUGAGAAUAUUGAGUGUCUAAGGAUGUUAAUCCUGAUACAUUUGUUUGUAAUGAAAUGAAAAUGGAGAAAUGCCUUCAACCAUGCUUAGAAUGCUAGUUGGUUGGUUCUUCUUUAUUGGCAACAUCAAUCAAUAUAUGUCCAGGACAGAAGAUAUGGUUUAUAUCUAUAAUUCGAAGACGUAUCCAAAACAGAUUAUAUCUUGUGAAUUAAAUAAUUAACAAUGGCGAAUGUUGUUCUAUCUUCACUAAUCAAAACCAGAUGCAAAGAUUCAUGUUUACAUCCUCCAACUCCAAGGUAGAUUUUAAUGAUCUUCAAAACGUCUUCUGCUGUAGGAGAUGAAUUUGGCUCGAGCUGGAGAAUUUUCUUUUAUAGCACUUCUGCUACUCUAUUCAUACUAUUGUUUUAUUGGGCUUUUAUUACGGACUUUUGAGAUUGAUCCAGUCCACAAUACCCAAAAACGUCUUCUGCUGUAGGAGAUGAAUUUGGCUCGAGUUGGAGAAUUUUCUUUUAUAGCACUUCUGCUACUCUAUUCAUACUAUUGUUUUAUUGGGCUUUUAUUACGAGCUUUUGAGAUUGAUCCAGUCCACAAUACCCAAAAAGUGUUGUAUAGUAUUGUUCAGUUCUCAUUUCUCUGUAAACGAACGUGAAGCGAAGAAGGAAAGGAAAGGUGUGUUCUUCUCAUUUGAGUUGAUGCCAAGACUAGAGUGAUUUCUUUUUCUUGUAUAUGAAAUGACAUUCUUAUUGUUUUUGGUGAUUAAUUACUAGCUAGCUAGUUUAUAUGAAUGUAGGAUUUCUCAAUUUCUGAUUUGGGUUUGUUGAAGAAACCCCACAUUACGCGACAACCCCUUUCAUAAAACUUUGAUUUCAUAGUUGAUCUUAUUUUUAUUCUAAUCCUCUUCUUUUAGACUUGGGGUUUGGGGCUCUGAGUUGAUCUUAUGAUUUUAUCAAGCUAAGAUUGUUGUGUAGAAUUAUUGUAUUUUGAUCACCAAGGUGUGUUGCCAAAAUGUUCUCAUUCACUCAUUGAGUGUGUUCUUGUUUACAUUUAAACCCUGUUGUGCACUAAUUUUGUUGUUUUUUCUUCUCUAAAUAAACAGCAAUAUUACGCUUUCACUGGGUAUCCAAUUGUGUAUGAACUGGUUGUGUUUGAAUGAUUUUCUUUUAACAUUUAGUCUCAUGUAAUGUGAUUGUUUAUGACAUGUUUGUAGAAUUGUAGCUACUAAAUUUUAUAUGGCUUUCAUUGGAUUGGUCAUUUUGUAUGUGCUAAUAUUCUGUUCGAUUAGAUUAUUGUCUUAAACAAAAUUUCAAAAAACUUAUCUUAUUGUGGUUUUCUUUUGGUGGCAAUCUACUAUCUUACAGGUCCUCGAGUCAAGUAGAUCGUCACCACGUUACAGUAUACUACCUUAUUGUACUAACUUCAUGGCAAACAAUUUAGUCUCCAGAUAUUUGUUGACCACCUUCCUAUUUCAAAACCCCAAUUAUUCAUUAAUGGUGGUGCGACCAUACAGCAGCUCAUCUAGUGUAGAGAAUUACUGGAAACUCUUGCAGAGAAGCAAUGAUUCCCAAACAAAUCUCGAGAAAACUCUGACAAAUGUUAGAGGAAAACUGGAUUCUUCGAUUGUGGAAAUUAUUUUGAAAAGAUGUUCUAUAAACAGAUCUUCUCUCUUAGGCCUUCGAUUCUUUAUUUGGGCUGGUCUUCAACCUGACUACAGGCACACCUCAUACAUGUUUAACAAAGCUUGUAAACUUUUUGAAAUUCAUCAAAAACCGCAAACCAUAAGUGAUGUUUUAGAAAGUUACAGGAUGGAAAAUCGUUUGGUUUCUGUCAAGACAUUUAAGGUUGUUUUAAAUUUGUGUGGAGAGGCCAAGCUUGCUGACGAAGCGUUGGGGCUGUUGAGAAAGAUGGGGGAGUUUGGUUGCCGACCUGAUACUACUAUUUUUAAUGUUGUUAUACGGAUGUUUAGUGAUAAAGGUGGUAUGGAUGUGGCUCAGGGAUUAAUGAGAGAAAUGGCUUUGAUUGAUCUUUAUCCUGAUUUGAGCACUUACAUAACAGUGAUCAAAGGAUUCUGCCGUGUGGGUCGUUUGGAGGAUGCUUGUCAAUUAAUUGAGGUCAUGCGCAAUCACGGUUGUGUUCCAAAUGUUGUGGUUUAUUCUAUAUUGCUUGAUGGGUAUUGUAAGAUUGGUAAUUUUGAUAGAGCAUUGGAGUUUUUGGGUGAGAUGGAGAAGGAGGAUAAUGGUCGGAUGCCAAACAUUGUUACUUACACUUCUUUGAUUCAAAACUUUUGUGAAAAGGGUAAAACAAUGGAAGCAUUGACAAUUCUGGAUCGAAUGGAGUCUCGUGGGUGUUUCCCGAAUCGAGUCACAGUUAGUACUUUGGUUAAGCAUCUUGUCUUUGAAGGAAAUAUAGAGGCGGCUUAUAAACUGAUUGACAAAGUCAUUGCUAAUGGCAUUGUUUCAAGAAAUGAGUGCUAUAGUUCUCUUGUUUUGUCUUUGUUGCAGAAUAAGAAAAUGGAUGAAGCAAAGAAGCUUUUUAUUUGGAUGUUGGGAAAUCAGAUUAAACCAGAUGGGUUGGCAUGUAGCAUAUUGAUAAAACAACUAUGCUUAGAGGGGAGCAUCCUUCAUGGGUUUGAGUAUUAUGUUGAAAUGGAGAAGAGAGAUUUCCUAGCAUCGGUUGAUUCUGAUAUCUCUUCCAUUCUUUUGGCGGGGCUCUGUCAACAGGGUCACUUAGUUGAAGCCGUGAGGCUGAUUAAUGCAAUGGUCGAGAGAAAGAUCAAACUGAAAGCUCCCUAUGCCGACAGCAUAUUUGAAUCCCUACAUAAAUCUGGUGAAAGUGAGCUUGCUUUGCAUCUCAUGAGAGUGCAGGAACUUGUUUAAAAUAAGGCUGUUUCUGAUAUUUUCGAGAGGUUCUACUCCGAUUUCUUCGCAAGUACGCUAGGCUAACUAACCGUAGAAGAUCAUGAGUGUGCAGGAUCUUGCCAGAAUCCUUGCAGCUUUUAGCCAUGGAAAAGCUUGAUAUGAACGUGGUUUCUGGUGGUCCUCAUUCAAUGGGAACAACCAUCAUUGCUGAUUCCAGAACUAGUACAGGUAGUACAUACUAUUUCAUCCAUUCCAUUUAGUUUGAAUUGUUUCAGUUCUAUUUUUUUCAUUCAGUUUUAAUAUAUUUUCAUCUUGCCUUGGAUUGCCAUUUUCUGUUUCUUUACUAGGACGACAAGCGAUAUAUAGGGAAUUACGUUAAAGGCACUUACAAUUUUUGAAAUGUGAUAUGCUAAGCAUAAGACAACUUAAUGUUCUAAUAAAUUAAAAAGAAUUUUCUGCACAAACAUUAUGAAAUGUUACACAAACAUCUUAGAUGAUAAAAGGCAUGAGUUUUACAUUUUAGAUCACUCAACAUGUGCCCUCCUACCUAUUCAAAUUUGGUGAAAGAAUGAAAGAUGGAUUUACUUACUAUAUCCACAUGUCAAACAAAACAAAGAAAGACAAUAGCACAAUAGAAUCCCUUUAAAUAAUUCAGAAACCCAUCAUCACUUCCGAGUGUCUUGUGUGCCAACUGAAAAUUUCAAAUUUGCUGUUUUUUCUUUUCUCACAUGGAGAAGACCAGAGCCACUUACAAGCUUGGUCUCUAUAUCUAAUUCUUAGGAAAGAUCUUGCUAUUGUUAGCUCUUUAUAUCACCAAAUGUGGCAGAAGGGACUCACUUUUAUAAAAUGAGAUUAAUUUGUUACCCACAUGCUUGGUGAAAGUAUCCCUCCAACACCAGCUUCACAUCUCGCUCGUUGUUGAGCGUGCGCCCAACAGGUCUCAAUAACAAGGUCACAAUAUUGUGAGAUUAGCUGAAAGAUGGAGAGCACUCAGAAUAGAGAAUGAGGAUAAGUACAGCUACAAGCUUACAGCUAAAAAUUUAACAUUUUUCUCUCAUAGGUUCUCACCCUUCCUGAACUCUUUCUAAUGAUCCAUUUCAGAUUUGAGUGGGUCCUGCAUCUUACUACUUUUCAUUUGAGUUGCAUUAUCCAUGGAUGUGCAUUUUACUUGUUGCUUUCGCUCUUAUAUGCUGCCCUUUGUAAUAGAUUUCAGUAAAUUACUGAGUACUACAAUCUCAUUGUUUCUUUCUGCUUUACCUUUGGCUUGGUGUUGGCUGAUCAACAAUUUCUGGAUGCAGGAAAUUGGGGCAAUUAGCAACUGUCAAAGUUUACAUUAUUGUCUCUACAGUAAUAAGGUACAUCGGAACACCUUGGUUGUUUACUGUUGAAGUUUUUCAUAGGAAGUUGAUCUUGUAAUAUGAACCAUGGUGUUACAUUUUGGAAGGGAAAUCGGCCGCAAGAUGUUUGAAAAUUUUACUAAAACUUGCUUGAUUGUAACCCAGUGUUUCAUGAGAAGAAGAAAUGAGUGUUAGUUUAAUUAAGUUUUCUAAACUAAAAGAAUUAAGAGAAGAAUUUGCUUGCACCAAUAUUGGCACUGUUAAUGGUGAUUAGCUAGAUGUAUGAUAAAGAAACCAUUAACAAAGGAGAAGGAGAAAUCAGAAAUGAUGAAGUAGAAGAGUAGAGGAGACAAAAGAUGUGUAGAAAAGAAGAAGUUGUCUUUCUGAUAUAGAUUACAUGGGUAUAUAUAACAUACUAACAUACAAACCAGAUCCAUAAUCUAUGCGACACACAUUCAAGUUAUCUUGACUUACAGUGGGUGGCUCUACCUACCAACUGUAUUUGUGUUUUAUUGACUUUAAUUAUACUACCAUACACUAAUACUACUACCAUAUACUAAUACCCCACCUCAAGCUGGAGCAUAUAUGUUGUCCAUGCCUAGCUUGGAGCAAAUACGAUCUGAUGUUGUAUGUGGGAGUGGUUUGGUAAAGAUGUCAGCCAACUGAUGAUAAGAUGGAACAUAAGGAAUGCAGAUUUCCUUAGAUUCUAACUUCUCUCGAACGAAGUUACAAUCAACUUCAAUAUGUUUAGUCCUCUCAUGAAACACUGGGUUAGAAGCUAUAUGUAUAGCUGCUUGAUUGUCACAGUUCAUUGGAAUUGGUUCUUGAAAUUUUAUACCAAAUUCCCUUAAGAGAUUCCUUAUCCAAGUCAGUUCACAUGUGGUAUGAGCCAUGGCUCUAUAUUCAGCUUCAACACUUGAUCUGGCUACAACUGUCUGUUUCUUGCUUUUCCAAGUCACCAAGUUUCCUCCCACAAAUGUACAAUACCCUGUGGUUGAUCUUCUAUUAAAUAAAGGUCCUGCAUAAUCUGAAUCUAUGAAACCUGUAAGAGAUGACCAUGAGCUCUAUACAUUAAACCUCAUCCGGGAGAGUUCUUUACAUACUUCAAUAUUCUGAUAACUGCAUCGUGAUGAGGAACUCGAGGGGCAUGCAUGAAUAGAGACACCACACUCACUGCAUGAGAAAUAUCUGGUCGAGUAAUAGUGAGGUAAAUCAGUUUGCCCACAAGUCUUCUGUAAGACUCUACAUUGGUGAGUAACUCUCCCUGUUCUGCAUACAACUUAAUGUUUGGAUCCAUUGGAGUAUCAAUUGGCAUGGCUCCUAGAUAUCCUGUUUUUGCAAGUAAGUUAAUGACAUACUUCCUCUGUGAAAGAUUGAUCCCUUUGUCUGACCUCACAACUUCAAUGCCUAGAAAAUAUUUCAAAGGGCCUAGGUCCUUAGUGUGAAAAUGUUUGCAUAAAUGUUGCUUUAAAAUCUUGAUUCUGUGAUAACAAUGUCAUCUACAUAUACGACCAAUAAAAUCUCUCUCUUUUUCUCAUGUAGAGGGAGUAGGGCCCCAAACUGAGCUCUCGGCCUCUUUGGGUAUUGACAUCUGUGGGGAUUUCCAAGGGGACGCCUGCGGAGAGGUACGUCAUCCCACUCAGUUUUGUUGAUGCCGGCCUUGAGUCUUUGUAUCCAACAGUUCCAUUUUCCACUAGUUUUCCUUUCGACAUUUUAAAUUCAGAACACUGUUUAUCUCUUGUCGUGGCUAGAGACUUGGAAAGUCCCUCGCUUGAGGGGGAGGGUAGUUCGGCUGAUUUGAUAUCGGCCGAGGAGUUUAAUGGGAGCCCCCGCGAGGUGACUCCCAUUAGUGUAGUAAGGGGUCCCAUUGAGGGAGAUGAGACCCAUAGGGCUUGGUUAGAAGCACAUAGGGUAGAGUUUUGCGCGAUAUCCGGACUCACUCAUCAAGGGAACUAUGAUGAGACUCUAGAGCUCCUUAGUGACAUCAUGGGGACUAGGAGCGUUCCGAGCUUACACCAAGACUUGAGCUUGGUGCCAGCUCAACAGUUUGAUAGUGAUAGUUUGAGUUUAAGAAAGGCUACCCGCACAGCCAGAGAGUUCGGACGGUUAAGUUCAGGGGUUAACUAUGGUGAGAGUUCUCUUAGUAGCAAGAGGAUUAGGCGAGUGUCUAAGUUUCCCAUAUGACGACACCAAAAAUAUUGUCUUGGAAUGUUAUGACAAAUAUCAUUGUCUGAAAAAAUGUAUACUGUUUCCUUGAAAUUCAUUUAUUUAAUUUUGUAAUUCGUCCUUUUUAGUUGUUAGGACUCUAUAAGUAAAGAAGUAUAGGUGGUCAAGCUACAUAACUUAUUGGGUUGCUAACUUGCUUGAGAGGUCUACUUGUUAGUUGCGACUGUGAGUUGGUCCAGAGUUCUCGGUACAACCAUUUGAAAACCUUGCCACAUCACCUGCAGGGAAAGUGCAGGAACAUCACUGCUGCAUUUUCUUAUAAAACAUAUUGGUAUUAUCUUCUCUAUUAUAUAUGCAAAUUCAAGGAAAGGACUGUAUCAUUCAACUUGCCUCGAGGGCUCAACCCAUCUUAAUAGGUCAACUGAUGAUACUUUGUUUGAUUCCAUAGUCAUUCCUUAUAUUCAAUGAGAAAAACUCUUUCCAGACUCUACCUUGAUUCUUUAUAAAAGAUUUUUAAGGGUUAAAUGGCCUAAAGCUUCUUUUACCUUCUUUUUUUAUAUUCUGUACUUUCUAAAAUAUUUUACCUUUAAAGGAGAAGAUUGUGAGACAUUCUUAGACGCAUAUUUGUGCUACAUAAAUUUCCUUUUAAACAAGUUCCUGUUUAAAACUUCUUGUGCAAUACCUUAAGCUUAGCACAAAGCUGAAUAGUAAAAUGUUUUCUUUUGGAGGAAACUGCUUUCACGCCAAAAGUAGAUAGUUUAGCUUGAUAGACUCUUUCGAUUUGAGAGGGUCUGUAGGGAAUGAUAUCCUUGAUUUGGAAAACCGAAAUUGUCUACUCACCAUUCAACUUUUUUUUUUCCUUUUACGAGGGCUUUCAGAAUUCCUACUGUUGAAAUUCUGAAUACAGCAAAAUAUCUGCUCUUUUCAUUUUUCAUUUGUUUUAGUUCUAAAUUUAUGUUGUGUACAAUCAGUUUGAUAUAUUAUGUGUUGGACUUUGUAGAAUAUGCUUGAGAUGGGCUUAACUAUUUGUGGAUAGGACAAAUAUGGAGGAGGCAAAAUCUACUUUGUGCCUCUUGGUGGGGCACUAUUGGGGCAACCUUUUGGAGGUACCUCGACUUGAAUCAAAUCAUACUAUAGCAUAUUUUGCAUAUGUAGUUCACACGAAAAGCAAAAUAGAUAAGAAAAUAGGUUUUUUUUAUAGGAUUGAAAUAUCGUGAAACAAUUCUCGGAUGCACAUGCAACUGCAAUUUUACUGUCAGCAGAAAUUGGCUUUGGUUAAUGACUGUAUGUUUCAGGAUCUGGAUUUAGUUACCUGGAUUCUUCAACCAAGCAUGGAAUGACGAAAGACGAAGCAGAGGUAUGUAGAUUUGUAUACUAUUUUGCAGUUACAACACUAUUACUUUUUUUUUAGAAAAGAAGGAUUUUAUCUCUUGUUCACCAAGCCUCCAAAGCUAUAUAUUAAAACUAAAGGCCUUUGCCCUUCUUAGAGUUGAUUGAAUUGAGAAUAUGUUUAGAAGAGUUUGCAGUCGAGGUUGCAUCAGUGUGACUGAGGAUAUCACACUAACCAAUGAACUCAACCAGUACUUACUCCCACCUUCCCACAUUAACAUGGAAUCUAAUAUCUGUCAAAGAUGGAACAAAAGAAUCGAGUUCCAAGCAAUCUGACUUGUAUCAUAGACAGCUUCCUCCAUUGAAAUAGUAUUCUCUUCAAAUGUGCAUCUGUGUCUCUCUAACCACAUGCCCCAACAUAUGGAAUGGAACACAACUAUCCAAUAGAUAUCUUGAUGCUCAAAGAUGUAAAAUAUAUAUUGUUUUGGACUCACAAUGGAUAUCUUGAUGUUCAGAGAUGUAAAAUACACUUAGAUGUUAACAUUGCAUUACUGGUGGUGACGUUUGUUUUGGCUAAGGAAAACUUAUAUUAUCAAAGAGAAGUUUUAGAGAGCCAAGAAAAUGGAAACUGGAGGAGAGAGAUACUCGCCCAGUCUCAAGAAUCAAGCAUUAAACACAAGGAAACCAAAAAAAAAAAAAAAACCCUUUGAGCAUCCAAAACAUCAGUAAGAUCACCAUUCCCCGCCACAAUGAUACCCCUAUAAGCCCUAUUCGAAACUCUCAUCCACCCUUUUAAAGGUUCCCACCAUUUCCCGAGUGGGAAAUGUGCUUGUGUUUUCUUUUGUUUGGCCUCUAUGCAGCAUAAACUACAGAUCCUCUCUUGCAUACUUCAUAGGAAGAGGGUCCAAAGAAGGGUAACUCUCCUCUGCAAACACUACUCAAAACACUUAAUCAACUGCACAAAUUGGGUUCAGGGAUCAAGGGAGAGAGAUAUCUCUGGAUUUUGUUAAGCUCUUAUUGGAUACCCCGGAUCUGAAUCAAACUCCCUUCUCCAACACUGCAUUUAGCUCCACCAUCGAGAACUCACCUCAUUCUAGUCGUUUUAGUGCAUUCUCCCUUAUUUCUUGAACUAUUGCUCAGGCGGUACCUAGGCACUUGAGGUGAGCCUAGAGCCCAGGCACUUAGCCUAGAGCCUAGGUGAGAGCCUAGCACACCCACCCUUUUUGAAACUGAAUGUUGAAUUUCGCCUAUUCUAGUAUUCUCUAUGACAUAUACUAAUCAUGUUGAUAGAAAUUCUUGGCGGAAGCAACAAGAAUCCUUACACAACUCAAUAACUUUCAAUUCAGCAAUAAUAGAUGGGAUUUCCUUGCUAGCCAAGGAAUCCAACUAAGAAACAAAUCUUCUAAAUAAAAGAUACUCUAAUAUAUGCUAAUUCCCAUCACAUGUAAUUUUUUUUAAGCCUAAUUAGUGUCAACAAAGUUGACAAACAAAAUAAUACCACAAACACAUUCCCAUUGUGAUUCAACUUCCAAAUAAUCAUCAAGACUCUUAUUAUUUAGAAAAUGAGAACAAGCAAAGGCGAGAGGAGUAGAGAAGACAAACCAGGGAAGAGAAUAUGUUUCUCCAAUCAGUUCAAGUAGAACCCUGGAUAAUUCUCUUGGAGCUAUCAAAUAUAUUGGAUUAAUGUGGAAAAUUGAACCAACGUUUAACACCUAAAAUUUGAGCCAGUGCCUAGGCUCACGCUUGAGCCCAGUGCAAGGCUCACUGAGGUUCUAGGCAGUUUAAAGCGAACAAGAGCCUAAUACACCUGAGCAACGCCUAUUACUAAGCAUUCUACCUCGCUUUAGCCUAGGUGCGCUUUUGACUGCAUAGUUCUUGAACUUGUGCAAAACUUUAUACGACCUAAACUAUUGGCCUCGCUGGAACUUAUUACUCCCAAGAUCGAAAAGUCUGGUCUUGACUUCUUUUUCGUUCUCACCUGAGCAAUAUGGGCAGGACUAAUAAGCUGAGCUAUUCCCUCACCAAGACAAUCAACUGAACAUUUUGGGCUAAUUUAGGGACAGGCUUGUAAUAUAAGUGUCCAAUUUAACGUUUUUGUUAGAAUAACAAAAUUUUCAACUACUAUAAAUAUGAACGCUCAGCUGGUUCAUACUGUAAUUUGAUUUAAUUGUACACUCCGUUAUCAGUAUGACAGUAUCUGAUGGAUUCUCGUUACUGAUGUAGUACAAUUCUGUUGACUAUAUAUUCCUGUAAUUUGAUUUCUUUUUGCACGACUUGGUAUCUAUAUAUUUACAGAAACUGGUUGAUAUGGCCAUUGCUCGUGAUUCUACAAGCGGAGGUGUUGGUCCGGACUGUCUUUGUGACACACACACACACGCCCACACACACACACACACACACUCACAAACACAAACACAAGUACAGUAUAUAAUAUCUCUCAUGCUCCAUCAAAAGGAGUAAUGAGAAUCAUUCCUAAAUUGUCAUUUCAGUCCCAUCAUGCCAGGACAAUACAAAAAUGUUCUCCAAUAAACAGUUCCCUUGUUGUAUCAAUAGCCUGAGUACUUUUUUUUUGGGUAAUCAUAUAGCCGAGUACUGAACUGAUUCCUGCUCAACCAGCUAUUUAUGCGUAUUCAAAGUGUACCCUUGUGAUUUUUUUGAUAGACUAAAAAAUCUUGAUCAGGAAUCUGAUUUCCCCUAUUUUAUGCCUAAAUUAUAGCCAAAUACACUCACUUUCCACGGAAUUUGAAUUCCGACGAACCAAGCAUAGCCUCAGUUUUUUUGUGAAACUGUUUAUUGGAGAAACAUGAGGGGAAAAUAGAAACAUCAUAGUCCUCCUUAGAGUAGAAGCAUCAAAAACAAAAACAAAGCAAGAUACAAACAAAGCUAAACGCCAGUCCCCCAUGACGAGAUCAUCCCAAGGUAUACAUAGAACGCAAAAGGUAUGUCCUUGUAGUCCUGCCACCGCUUUAUGAAAUUUGAGAUUCAUACCAGCUCAAUCCAUCCUGGCCUUCAAAUAUGGGUGGACAUCCAAUCCGGUUGGAUGCAAUCUAUUAUUUAUACAAGUAACUAUUGUGAAGGACACCAAUCAUGUUUUUCUUGGUGAGAAGGACAAUCUCUUUUGAGUCAACCCUCCAUAAGGACAAUCUCUUUGAAAGUCAUGGUUGAAAAAGAUAUGCAGUUUUUGUUGACUUGUUGAAAAGGACAAAGACUUAUGAUUUUAGGUUGAAUCAUAGUGUCAAAAUUUUGUGCAAUUCCGACUUUGCCCUUUCCCACUAGGGUUAAUCACUCUCUACCUAGGUUAUAGUGUUUUGUGCAAAAAAAAAAACAAUUCUUAUAUAUGAUUCGACCUAAAAUCAUACUAUGAUUAGGGUGGGUAUUUUUGUCCAGAAUUUGUUGACUUCAAAGCCCUUUUCAAUAAGAAACCAACUGUUUCUGUCCUUUUGAAUAAGUCUCCCCAAGUUGCAUGAUCUGAGCUAUCUGUAAUUACAAUCGCUGGAAAACGAAUUGUUUGUUUGGUUCUUGUUAUUUGACCGGCUUCUUCUAUUUAUCUCAUGUCUUACCACAUAUCCUUUGCAGAUCAACUCUAAAGGAGUUACAAGGAUCUUCUACCCAGGUGAUUUAUCUUCCAUUGUAGCACGAUGUGUUGGAGCCCUAAGUAGCAUUGCUGGGGCAUAGUGUCUUCAGGCAGUCCUGAGCCAAGGACCACUUAAAGAAAUAGAUUCUUCCAUCUGCUGGCAGAGGAAAUUCUUGGUUGAGAAGUGAUGAGUAAAAUUAUUGUAACCUACUUAACUUUAAUAUUUUCUUACCAAGGGAAACUCAUAGGAUUUUAUCAAAGCUGGACAUGCAAGGGAUUAUGUUUAGUAUUCUUAUUUUGUCCUUACAAUGAAUCCAAAUAUGGGUAAUUGUUGGAAUUACACUCUUUCCUCCAAAAUUUUAUAGUUAAGGUCCCAUUUGGCAGUUCCCAUUUCUUUUGAGAAUUUUAAGAAUAUAUGAAAGCUUAAAUUUUAGGUCAUGUUUGUUUGAUUUUAAGGAAAAGUACAUUACAAGUGGUUUUCACAAGAUGGGUUUUUGUUUUCUACAGAGUUGUCUUUUGUGCUUUAGAAUUGCUCAAUGACAUGUUUAAUGCAUAGUCCCAUAUGUGCAGAUGAAAGAAUGAAAUUUGCAUGGUGCAAACCAAUGGCUAUUUUGCAAGGUGUAAAUUCUAAGUGUCUGUGUAUGUAUGCAGUAUUUGUACAGUGUGACAGACAGGUUAUACAUUUACAGUUAAUGAAGUUAGAGACUACCUAUGAUUCGCACUGGAAUAUAGAGAUUGCAAUUUGCAAAGAAUUGUGAAACAGAAAAAGUAUCAUAUGCAGUUUGCAGCACCUUGAUUAUCUCCUUGAUUUUAUAGCGUUAAAAACCUACAGUUUACAGUUGAUGUACAGUAUAAGUUGUUUCUUUCCUUAAGGAAUGUAAUAAAAUAGAAGUGAAUGCAUCAGUAAACCUACAAGACUGCAUCUUGAAAUAAAGUCUAAUAAGUUUCUCAUACUGGGUUGAGUUGAAAGAAAGAGACGACUGAUGGAAGAAAGUUCACACACUAUAUAUCACCUCAAAAGAGUACAAGUCACAAGUCAGUCUACAACAAGCAGGGCAAAUGAAAUUAAAGCACCAAAGCUGCUACAUAAAAAGCCACUAGUUAUGGUAAAUAGCAAAACAUGAUAGGCAAUAGAGAAGACAGUGGCCUAGAGACGAGGUAUUGCCAGAUAUUAGUCAGACUAUUUAUGCAGCUUCAGUGCAUGUAUAGUCAGGAAGUUCUGCCACAAAAAUGAUUUUCUUCUUCAGUAAUCUCUUGCAGCACUCACAGACUAAUCGAGAUCCAGGACUCUGUUUUUAGAACAACGCUUUUUUUUUAUGGGACAGUUCCUUCUGCAACCAAUAAAAUGCCUUUUAGAUGAGACAAAUACCAACCUUAAACUGUACUUUGGACAAUAAUAAUAACAAUUUAAAGUACGGAUGUCGGUGUUUGAAAGAGAUAAGAGAGAGAGAGAGACUCACGAGUUUCCUUGACAGCAACAAAUCUUAUCAUGCAACCAAGUUGGGGGUUUUGUCCAAGGGACAAAAUAUCCUGGAUGGGGCCGAUGCUGCAAUCCAUAAGAAAUGUGUUAUAUAACAUCGUUGUGCGUGCUUCAAUCUAAAUACUGUAACUUUUAAUAGCAGAGGGCACUUGGGCAAGUUUCUACUAAUCCUUAUAUCAACAAUCAACUGUUGACAUCUGGAAACUUAUGUCAACAAUCAACUGUUGACGUCUGAAAACUUGUAUCAACAAUCAACUGUUGACGUGUUUUGAACCCACAACCUCUCCAAUUUGUGAGAGGGGUGCUACCAUUGAGCCACAGGCUCAUUCACAAAAAAACAAACGAAAAUUGAAGUUCUCGUAAAUGAUCAAGUGGAACUCUAUACCAUGCAUCACAAAAAGCAAUAUUUGAGUAAGUUUCGCAUUGUGUCUGAAUAAUGGGUUUAUUUCAGCACAUUCUCUUAAAAAUCUUUUCAGAACACUAAAACCUUUUUCUCAGUACAAGGAAGAUAAUAUGAAAACUUAUUCUCAAUAAUGCUUCACUGGUAAUCAUUUCGGGAGCCAGUUCGAUGAGGUCUUGUUCAUGUCUUUUGAACUUUGAACAAUAGAUAUGGAUAAAAUAGUCAUUGACAGCUUGGAAUCUAAGUAAUUGUCCAUCUUUAUCAAGGAGUAUGAAAAAUUCGUAUCUUAAAAAACAAACUGAUAUUGAACUUUUGAACUUUGAACAAUAGAUAUUGCUCUCUGACAAUAUCAACACGAAAAUAUAUGCAGUUCACUCUGAGUUGUAAGACUGGUUUUGUAAAACACUCUCACAAAAGCAUUCAUGGGGAGGUUGACAAUAGGAUGACCUGGAGUGAUGGGGAGGUUGACAAUAGGAUGACCUGGAGUGGGCAGCACAAGAGAACUCAACAGGCGGGGUAGCUUUUUUGGCUGUCUGCACCACCGUUGUUACUUUCAUUGGCAAGCCAGCCAGUCGAUAUUCGAGUCUUAAAACCCUGUUCUAUUGGUUAGUUGUUCGUAAAUACUCUUGAGCAUACCAUGCUACAAGGAAUGUCAAUUCUUUGCGAAGAAGAUGGAACUUCCGAUCAAUUUUUGUCACAAAGCCUUUUCAAGUCAUCGUACGUUCCGCAAUGUUUAUCCUGAUUCACUAUUGUUUUCAGUUAAAAGCAACCUAAUUAGUAUUAGUGUAUCACGUUCUUGGGAAUAACCCCAAUAAUUUGUCAAAAUGAAACUGAGCAAACUGUUCAUGUUCUUUUUCAAGUUAAGGGCUAAGUUAUAAUGAAGAAUUUGAUGCAGCAAUAUGAAGAAUAAUAUAAACAUAGUUUGUUACCAACCCCCCCACCCCCGCUGAAGAAAAAAAAAGGACAGUACUUAAAGAAACAGCAUCAGAAGGAUUCUUCCUCCCUAAGACUUCACUCCUCACCCUCCCUCCCCAGACCUUAUAGUAGCCAAUUCCCACAGAAGUGUUUCCUCUUUACCUCUGUGAUCAAAAAUUCACGACCUGUAAUCCCUAUCAAUAAAUACAGCAAGAGACUAUUUUUUAUUGACGAAAUGCCAUUUUGGUCCACAAACUUACACAAAAUUUUCAUUCUGGUCCACAAAGUUUCAUUUUGUCAAUUUGGUCCGCAAACUUUCAUUUUGUUGGUCAAUUUGGUCCGCAAAAUCAAUAAAAGGGUGAGUGUAAUUAUGGAGGGUGAGUGUCUAGUCAUGUCGUUCCUUUUUGUCCGACUUUAAAACAGGUGGUAAUACGUGGAACGUCUGUCAUCUCUAAUGUAACCCAAGGCCACUUAAGCUGAGCUUUACACUGGCAAGACCUAUGCAAGCUAAACUUUAGUUUUUCUUUUUCUUUGUUCUUUGUUCUUUUUUUUCUUUAAUUUUUUUUUAUGAAUGGAAGGUAUUCAUUUAUACAUAGUAGUAAUGCUUAAUAAAUAAAGAAGAUAAAACAAACCAAGAUUAGCUAGUGACUAAUCCUUCCAUCCGCAGUGUGUGUACACCCACAUAGCACCUUACAAUGAUUAUGCAUUUAUGCCAUCUUUGUGACAAUCCCAACAGACCCAACUAUCUAAACAUUUCCCCACCUAGUGCCUAACUAGGCCACUCUCCGAUGCGUAAUUCUCUUCCAGCUCAUCAUUGUCCUCCUAAUCCUCGGUCGUCCAAUGGUACCUUAUGCUAGAUUCGGAACUUGCCACCCUCUCCUUAGCUUUCUAUUGCUACUCCAAUGUCUUGGUGGCGAGUGAUUUCAGUCGUUUUUCACAUUCCACCUUUCUACUGCCCCAUCUUCUACCAAAUUAUAGCAACUUAUCCACCUUUGCUUCCUACUCUUCCCUCCUCUUACCAACCACGGAUUUAUCUUUACUUAAGUAAUCCUCCUCUUGAAACCUCUAAUUUCUUGCCAUUUUCAGUCCCCUCCUCGAUUACUAAGAAACCACCAUCUAUUUUUUUCUCUUUGGAACUUGAUUCAUCCACCAAACUCUUCUUUCUCCAUUUACAAGUCCUAAACUCCAUCCCCUUCAGUUAUUGCAACAGUUGCCAAGAAUAUGGAUAUAAGGUUAGCAAUGUGGAAGAUGAAGUUUUUGUCAAAAGGUGUGUGCAACAAGUCUACUCUCUCUAGCAUUACUAUAUACUUUCUCUCAUUGGUUACAAUCCCUAUAAGCAUGGCUAAGGACACUAAGAGAAUUAUGCGCAAGUGUUUAUGGGGCACAACGGUUGGAGCAAACAAAUAUCAUCUGGUUGACAGAGACUGCUUGCAUUCCUCAAGAAGUUGGUGGCUUCGUUGGAAGGUAAGGAGGUAAAUGAUGCUUUGUUGUGCAAAUGGUCGAGGAGAUGGGAUAGCGACAUGGUGGCCUUGUGAAAAGAUGUAAUCAGGGACAAAUAUGACGUUGAAGAUGCUGGCUGCUAUUAAGAGUUUCACAGCCUCACAGCUGCUGGAAGCACAUAAUGAGUAAUAAAGACAUUUUUAAGCAAAAGGUAUCAGCCACAAAGUGAGAGAUGGUAGCAAGAUUAGAUUUGGGAGGAUAAGUGCUGUCUAGAGAAACCAUGGAAAGUGGCAUUCAGAAAUUUAUUUGCAAUUUUAAAAACAAAAAAGGGUUAUGAGUCAUCAUAUCAGUUAUAGAGGUGAUAAUUGGAGCUGGAACUUUGGGUUGCGUAGGACUUUACUGAAUUAAUGGACCAAGAUUAGAGAGAAAAUGGAGCCUGACAAGUUAAGAUGGCUUAACUCUUCUAACCCUUUUGAACUCUAUUUUCCAUUCGAUUGGUAUCAUAAUAAUUGAAGAACCACGCCUUGGUGAUAGUCAAUUCCCUCUAAGGUUAAUUUCUUCAUCUGGAUGCUCAUUAAUGGGAGACACUUACCAGCGACAAAUGGAGGAGACGUGGAAUUGUAUUAGUCGACAGGUGCCCAAUGUGAAUGGGUAACAAGUGUAUUAGUCGACAGGUGGGCAUGUGAAUGUGAAUGAGAUGUGGAAUUGUAUUAGUCGACAGGUGCCCAUUGGUGAAUAGCCAUCGUUUUGUCGAUUGUUUAGUGGAUAACAAGUCUGUGAAUGGUUCUUUGCGACAUCUAAACUUGCAGCUAACGCGUCAAGCAGAUUCCAUAAAACAUUCCUAUUUUGUAAAUUGGUGUGUCAGGUAUCCGGCUGGCAAUAACAGAACAGCGUUACUAGAAAAACUGGUAGCAAAAUGUUUGCUUCGUUGAUAGUUGUUUCUGUGUGUUGAAGAUCUAUCAUACCGUUGUGUAUAUUGAUCAAAACUAUAAAGGGAAUCGAGUUACCGUUUCAGCAAUUACUCUAGGAUCUGCAACAUUCCUUUCCAACAUAACUUAGUUUGAAAUCUCCCAUGGAAAUAUACAUAAGAUUGAAGUUUUGAAUGACAACUAAUUUUUACUUUUUAAACAAGACUAGAUAUUUUAUUGAUCACUUGUAAUAAUUUACACAAAGGUAAAGGAUAAGCCCUACAAAUUGAGCUGAAUAUUUUAUUUGCAAUAAUUUUAUUUUUCUUAUUUUUUAUAAACUUUUUUCUGGAUAGGCUUGUAUAUUUAACCAUAGAACUAAAGAAUACGACAUUGACAAGUGUUUAAUGUUUCUUCUAAGGAAUUACAUGUAAUGGGAGAAUGACCAACAAAAACUCAAUACAACCAAACUUAAGUUGGAUCUUUUAUCUGGACCAAAAUCUAUACAUAGAGUUUUACUACAUCAUCAAUCAGUUGUCAAGAAUGCAUAUUUCACAAACAUUUACGGAUUACAGCAAGAAAUAUAAGAACAAUACCUUUACGUGGAAAAAUAAGCAACGUAGUAGUGCUAAAGCUCUUUUUCGAGGAAAAGGUUCCUUCAGUGCGGCAUCAAGCAAUUCCUCAAGAUCUAGAGAACAUAAAAGUAAGAACUAUGAUUAAACUAACAUGAAAAGAAUCGUACUAACAAAGAACUAUAGAUACAUAUAUACUUAUUUAAAAUGACCACAUAAGAAUAAAACAAAUUACUCAGAUUUAAGCUAAGAUUGUUUCAGAUACCCCUUCAUAGAUAGUAAGCUACCUAUAUUAUUAUAAGUAUGGUUCUGCAAAGCAUAUGAGCCAAAGAUAUUACGUCAUUGGUAUGUCUGUUUCGAUACUGAUGAGAAAAUAAAAAUGUUAUAUACAUGAAAUGAAGCCAAAUUUUCGAGAAGAAAAGAAACUGCAAGAGGCCCUUUUGGAUGAAGAUCAGAAAAUAUCCUACAUUCACACUGGAUUAAGAUUAAGACGUUCAAUAAAUCAAAAUUGGAAGAUAACUUUGUUCCAAAUUAAAUACCUACAUUUUGCUUUGUGUGAGUGUGUAAUUUCUUUUUUACUAUCAUCUGUGUUUCUAUAUUUUUACAAAAGAGACAAAAUUGUCAUGAAUGGGAGAAGAGAUGAAGAUUAAGUGCCAACUUCAAUGAAAAAACAUAACCAUACAAAACAACUAAGAGAGGAAAACUUAUUUUGUUGCGUCCCUUUCAAGAACUUUCGUCAAACUACUUACUCAAUUUUUAUCAACACAACACUAAACACAUAUGUAAUCAUAUUCAAAAGGUACAUAAAAAUCGAAUAUUUAGGGCAAUAUACUUGAAAAUGUGAAAGAAGCAACAGUAGGAUACAGGCUUUGUGAACUCUCAUUUACCAGGAUGGUGACCAAGAUAUGAUUUCCUUUUGCGUUUUGUUGGAACUGAGAAUGAAGUUCCACGUGUUUCCUUAUCGAUUUCGACCCAUUUGCGAACCCUUGCACGCUUUAGACUAUCUUUGUACUCGUACUUAUCAUAUGGUUUUGAAAUUUCUUUUCUUAAAAGUUUCCUGAAUUCCUUUUUAUGAUCACACUUUCCACUGCAAAUAAAUUCAACAGAAUCCGAAUCAUCCUCAGUCAUCUGCAAAGUUCACAAACAAGUAACAACAAUAAAAAUCAGUAAGACUCUAGAAGUUUUCAUUCUAGAUACCAUAAAAGAAAUGAUACCAAGCACAGUAUUAAGUUUGUUCCAGAUCAAUAUACGUACAGCAACAUUACUGGUUUUCAGCUCCGUGUAUUGUGUAAGCUUCAUUUCAUUGCCAUAAACCGCAUCCUUUUGCUGUAGCCCUUCAGGAUCAGCCGCAAAUUUGCUAUCAUCUCCAUACUUCACAAUGACACCUUCAUAUUUAAAUGUCAAUGAAUCACCUUCUACGCAAAUGUGGUCCAGGAACUUUAGAUAACUUUCAUCAGCGCAAGAAAGCGUUCCAGGCUUACAAUCCGAAAGGAACCAAUGAGGAGUCAUGUGCCUCGGUUGUUCGGCUGGAGAUCCAUUUUUCUUUCCAAAGUCAUUGUCCAAAACUUUAGAUUUCGGUUUUUCCUUGUCUUUGAAAUCUUUCAUGUUUUCUUGACUUGAAUUAUAAGCCAAAUGAGCCCCUUCAUCUUUCAUUGAAUCCUCAAUUAACUUAUCAUUAUCUUCUUCAUACUUCAGAAACACAGUAGUUCCAUCUUCUUUCUUCCUUUCAAAAAUAUAUGAAUAUUCAUCUUCUCUAACAUUAUCCAAAAAUAUUUUAUAAUCAGGAUCCACAUCGUCCUCCCCAGAGCUCUGAGAACCACAACCUAUAUCAUCCACCAACAUUUCAAGAGGAGGAUCCAAAUUUCCCUCCCAAGACUUCGGAUCAGAAUCCACAUUUGUGUUACCAUGUUCAAGAUACUCCAUAUCACACUUAUCAUCCACAUCAACCUGUUGUGAUGAAACCCCUUCAGAAACACAUACAAUAUGAUCAGAAUUUUCACAAGCUACAUUGUCGUCAUCAGUAAUCUUCUCAUAAACAAUCCCAUUCAUGCCCACAUAUAAAAUUUGCUCACUAGAACCCUUAUCUUCAAUAAAAUCAACCUGUUCCGUUGAAACCCUUUCGCAAUCUACAUUGUCAUCAUCAGUAGUCUUGAGAUCAACAUUCCCAUUCAUGCUAUCAUUUAAAAUUUCCUCAUUAGAACCCUUAUCUUUGACAAUAUCAACCUGUUCUGUGGAAACCCUUUCGCAAUCGACAUUACCCUCAUUGGACAUGGCAUCAAAAUCCCCCUUCCAUGUCUCAGUUAUAUAAUCAAGAUAAUCCAUAUAAUCCUUAUCUACCAUCAAAUCUAAUUCUGUUGAACCCUUUUCGCAAACACAAUUAAUCUUAUCAUGAUCAAGCUCAGUCACAACCCCUUGAUUUGUAAUUUUUGUUUUCUGACUAGAACUAAUAAUCUCCACAUCAGAAUCAUAAUCAAUUUCAGUCACUACUCUUUCAGAAUUGCAUCUCUCUGAAUCCUUCUCAUCAUCUCGAAAAAAAUUUCUUUUUAGGCGACGAUCAUCAUCAAUGUCAAUGCUAAUGCUGCUACUGCUUCUUCUUCUCUUACGACGAGUAGUAGUAGUAGUAACAGUAACAUGGUUACUCUUUGCUCUAGUUCGACUUCUAAGUCUGGUCUUGGAUAAUCCAUACCACUCAUCCAUGUCUUUGGUGAGAAUCUUCGCUUCCAACUUCAAAGACCUCAUCUUUAAUACCAAAACAGAGAUGAAAUUAAACUACCGAGUGCUUAAUGGGGAUUUAAUUGGUUAUAUACAUAUCUCUGAUUCAUGAUAAUGGGGUUUCAUUCCAAACAAAGAAACUGUUCAGUUGUGGGGAAGAAAGGGUUUAAGGAAGAAGAAGAAGGGAAGAUGAACUCUUUGCUGUUUUGCCAGUUUGAAACAUUUUUACUUCUGUGAUAAUUACAAUUGAAUGUUUUUGCAUUGGUAAUUGCAGAACUGAAAGAAGUUUUAAUUGGGGUUGGUUCAAUAAAUUGGGCUGGACUGGACCAUUAAGGCCCAUAUAUGCAGGUCUAGUCCACAGACCACUAGACCAGUCACCAGUGAUCUGUGUUUCAAUGAUUUCUCUGCCAUUUUGCCGAACACUUUAGAGUUCAGGCAGAGUUGGUGUCACCCUAAAAAUGUUGUUCUAUUGUUUAACAUUAAGUAAGAAGAUGGAGAGUUAUCAAGUAAGUUUGUAGCUUGAUAUAGAUAAGAAUAAGAGGAGAUACCGGAUCUCUUGGUCAAAAGUAUGUUUUCGAGUUCAAAAGUAUAUUGGUCUUGAGGAUGAUACAAUUAGUAACCAUGAUUUGCGAAUGAGCAUGUGGCUCAAUGGUAGCACCCAUCUCACCAAGUGGAGACGUUGUGGACUCGAAACACGUUAACAGCUAAUUGUUGAUAUAAGUUUCCACACAUAAUUUAAAUGGGUAGGGUCCCCUCAACCCCGCUUGCAAAAAAAAAAUAUAGUAAGCAUGAGUACAAAAGGAACAUAUAAUAAGAUGUUUGACUCCAAAUCCGAUCUCAAAUCCCAAGAGAAAGAUGACAAUAAUAAUUGAAUUGAAACUCCCAAAAACAAUAAUAAUAAUAUCAAGUUGAUUAAACAUCCAGGUUUCAAAAAGACAUUGGUUUCUUCAUUCAUUACUUCCACCGAAAGAAUAUUUAAAUAUCUUUCGAGAAGAAACAACUUAUUUUCCAUCAAAAAUAUUUCUUUUGAAAAACAAAGAAUAAAUUGAUUUUGUUUGUAUAAUUACUGAAACAUAAUUCAUGUGUAACGAAAUUGUUUUGACGAUUAUUUGAAAGUCCUUACCAGAGGCAUAACUUAUUAACUUCCAUAUCGAUUUUAAUUAUAUUGUAGGCUAAGAUUAAAUAAAAAUGCACAAGUUGGUAGUAAUUCGGUACACUGUCUCGUGGGUUCGGGAUUUUGAAAUCUUGAUUUGGUGGACACUAACCGAUACGAAUAGAAACAAUAUAUUCUCUUUUUUUUUCUCUAUAUUUGCAUUACAUGUCUAUACAUUUAUGUUCUGCCACCCUUAAAUUAUAUAUUCAAGGUUUUUAACACAAACGGAUACACACACCAUUCUUUGGCUUUAUAGAACCUUAUGUUAUGCCCACCCUUAAAUAUUUUUUCUUCAAAAUAUUGAAGUGUUGGAGAUUUAUUUUUCCAAAAAAAUAUGCCCACCCUUCCAGAAUCCUCCUUCAAUUUUUUUCUUAUUUUUUUUUCUCUUUUGAUUGUUUGAUUAAAGGUUGUCCUAAAGUUUUUGUACUGUACUCAGUUGUGAUAAGAUGAUAAUGUGCGUGUCCAGACAAACCAAAAAAAUAAAUGUAUAAUUGUGAAAUCUGUGUAAUGUUCGUGAUGUUUAUUGUACCGUGUGAGCACCACCCUAGGAGAUGUUAUAAAAAAAAUAUGGUAUAGGUAUUUUUUAUUCAUGUUGGGAUUAUUUAUUGUGGCUUCACGUUUGGUGGGAAUGAUAUUGCAGACUAAAUCAAAGAAGAUAUAUUUUCUGGCUAUAUACGUUAAUAGAUAUAUUAACAUGGUAAUAGUUUACGUAUUUUUUCGUUACUUUGUGAUAUAAAUCAGUUUGUACAUGUACCUACUUAUAAAAUUUUCUUUUAGAACCGCAUAGACCAUCAUUUGAAUGACAUAGGCAAGAGAAAACGGAACUCCAUUUCGACGGAUUCAGCCCCGGUCAAAUUGCAAAUUUUGUCAACAACGUUUGUAGCUUUUUACAAUUUUGACAGCCUUGUUCGAUCAAAUUUUACAACAACGUUUCAAUUUUUUGCAAUUUUGACAAUUAGGUUUUUUUUUCCAGUGCGGAAGUCAAUUUUUAUUGUGAGGUGGCACAUAUGUGGUGAUGUGUCAAAAUGUGUGCCACGCGGACGAUGACAUGUCAGCAACAAGUUUUACUCGAUUGUAGAAUUUAUUACUGUAGCUUCAUCAUUGUAGAAUUUGUUAGCUUAUUCUCCAAUUUUUAUGUUUUUGCUAUUAGAAAUGCAAAAUCUUGCUUCUUCUUCUCUAAUUCCUUUUCCAAACGUCUAUACUACUUCUCUAGUGCAACAUUCUUAUAUUCGAGCUCUCCAUUUCUUUUCCUUGUGUAUUCUAACUUCUUCUCUAUGCUUGAUGGUGUUGCUGGUGGAUCGAUCCAACGAAAAUAGUUACAGUGGUUUGUUAGGUACUUCAAGCAACCAUAAAACCUUCUUCCAGGAAUAUCAAAGUCAAUGAGAUCUAGAUCGGUGCUUAUUUUUCACAAUCACAUGUUGGUGAAGAGUUAAUAUAGGAGGAUGAUGGGGUGUGAUUUUAGUUCGAGGUUUUUCAAUUUUAGUUCUAGGGUUUUUGAUUUCAAAAGGAGAAGAAGAUGAUGGAAAUCGAUUUUAGAAAAAUGAUUAAAUGGUUUGUUAAUCACAGACAUCGCACGAGCGUUCCAAAAGUUAGAUUGUUGUCGAUGUGUCAUCAUCCACAUGGCACACAUUUUAACACAUCAUCACAUGUGUGCCACCUGACAUUAGUAACCUGAUUUCGGCACCGGAAAAAAACUUGGUUAUCAAAAUUGCGAAAAAUUGAAACGUUGUUAUAAAUUUUGUACAUGGUUGUCAAAUUUGUAAAAAACUACUAACGUUGUUGAUGAAAUUUGUAAUUUAACCUCUUAGAAUUUAUUCUGAUGAUUUGUUUUUGGUUAGUAUAGUUUUUAACUCUUACAAAGAUUUCUGCUAGAAAUAUUGUUCAUAUAACAAUCAGACUCACUUGUAUUUUAUUCUCAUUUUUUUAGGAAAUUAGAAGAAGAAUUCAGAGGCGUCACCGUGAAUAUAAGAUGCGUGUUAUUAAAACUAAAAGAUUUCAAAGUGCUAAUGCAAAUACAUUGGUUCAUGCAAAUCGCACUCAAACCAGAUGCCUUGCUAUAAAUGUUAAGCAUAACAUCUUUCCUGAUUCAAGAAAAAUUGAUGUUGAUGAAUAUGAAAGCAUGUUGCAGAUAUAUGAUUUUGGUAGGUACCAUUUGCUAUUGGAGUUACGUAUUAUUCAUAUAUUUUUUAAUAUUCUUCAUAUCAGUUUUUAAGAUAUUAAUUCAUUAUUUAAAGCAUUGAUACCAUGAUAUAGAUUCUGAUAGUAGUCAUUCAAUCAACGGAGAAUUAUUUGACUAUCCUAACGAACAAGAUGACGGUUCAAAGAUCAUUUGUAAAUAAUUUACUACGAAUUUGAGUUAAGAUCCUUUUUUUUCCUUAGUGCUAUAUUUAACCAAAAUAUUUUGCAUAAACUCUUUAAUAUGUAAAAUGUUUGAGCCAUUAAACUUGGGAUGUAACACCCCAAAAUUCGACCCAUAUCCCAAUAAGACCUGAAUCGAAUCUCAAGGCAUUAACAUCAACACCAUGUGCAAUUUGUCAUUUCUACUCUAUUAAUCAUAACAAAAAUCCGUGGAAGUCUGGUGUUGAAUCUAUCCAUUUAUUAACUAGCAAUUAACACAAAUCCGCAAAAACACACUUUCAUAUUUAUAUAGAAAACUAUACUGUAUACAAUACAUGAUUGUGAUAAUACAUAUAUAAGAUUUUAUCAAGGGUGAUAUGUACAUAUAUACUAACAAAAAGACAUGUCAAAAAGUUACAACCCUGAACUGCACUCUCACAUCAAACAGAUGUAAUGAUCAUCCCUGUCACCGUUUGCUGCAACAGCAGGCUUCUCAACAACAUGCCCAGCUGAAAAAGAGUAAUGGUAGGGUGAGCAUAAUUCACUUGCUCGGUAGAAACCCACAUUUCCAAAAUAUUAUCCAACAAUGACGAUAAAUCACGCUAACAGUUUAAAAUAUGCAAGUUUAAAUAAAAAAAAAAUGGUAAAGACAAUAACUAUGAUUUUUAAAAGUACUUUCUGCUGUUAGUAAUAGAUAAUAUUCAAACAUUCAUACAAUAAGUCAGGUAGCUACAUCCUAUUAGAGUGGUGAGAAUACGACUGGAACUCAGCCCCAGCCCCAGGCAAAUCAUCUUGGUCCAGUACUUUCCAGUGUGAACCUGCACUGUUGUUUUCCUGAUUAUCCGGUUGGGUAGUGAUUACCAUUUUUGUGUCCGAAGACACUAACCCUCUUUUAGGGCUCAGGUGGGCCCUCUGACCACGCCUCCUGAUACGAGGAAUUCCUAAAUUAUGGUGGUCAACCGUUCGACGACUGCACAGGAUCACACACGUCCAGGAAUGGACUAACUCUCACCCCUCGCGUCUAAACCUCCUCGAGGUAACAUGUAUCCCCACACACACACUAAGCACCAACAACGUACCACUAAAGGCAUGGUAAUCCAGGAAGGUAGAAGAGAAAUUUUCGGAAACAUCUAACAGUGUUCGCCUCUAGAAAUUGCCCAUUCACCGUCUAAAGGUGAACAACGCGUAUGUAAUCCUAGAAAGAACUAUCGUUGCCGGAAUAUGACAACAAUUCCUUCUUUAUAGGAAUUCACAGAUCCCUUGCUAGACCGCCUCGUGAUACAAUAUAUAUAUGAUAUAUAGGGUGUCUUUUUAUAAUAAUUAAUUUAAUCUGGCAUGUGUGAUGAGUCCCUGAAUUUAUCAACCAUCAAACCAGUCCCCUAUUCAUGGCUAUCCUAACCGAGCCAAAGCCGAAGAGACUAUCCCCUAUUCCAUGCAUGGCUACCCUAACCGGGCCAAAUGCCAAAAGGAUUAUAAUCCAAUCUGUAAUAAUAUGUUCGUGUAAGCACCCAGAUCAUAAUUUUUCCCAAUCCAAGGACCUCACACCAUACCAACAUACAACUGAGACCCCACAUCCCAUUACAAAAUCCAUCUCCCUUUUCCCAUCCUGGAAAGGAGAUGCAAUGAAAACUUCAAUAGUUUUUCCGUUUGUAAAACAAUAUCUUGUACUACUUUAUCAACUCCAGUUUAUAACAUGAUAUCUGUAACUACUUACUUUGAUAGAAGCUAUAAUCGGUAAACCACGAGUACUAUAUAUAUACCAAACAAAACUAUGUAUGCCUUUUAUCAUCAAUUUACCAACUGUAUUGUAACAUUAAUUAAAACUAUGAACCACGAGAGGAUAAUACAAAGAAAAUGUAAGUCCCUACCUCAGCACGCUCCUGUGUCAUAGCCUAUUGCUAUAAGACCACAACUAUGGAUAAGACCAAACCCGCAGAACACAACUAUGGAUAAGACCAAACCCGCAGAACACAACUAUGGAUAAGACCAAACCCCUAAAACGAGAAAUGAAACUAUAAGAAUACAUUCUAUAAAAUGGAGCAAAACUAUUAGUUACUAUUCUAAUCGUGCACGUCUCGCGUUUCUAAUAGGUUUUCUAAUAUAGCGACAAUUUCGAGUUAUAGGCUAUUGUUAACGGACUUGUUUUCUUUUAGUAAAUUUAUGUGUAAAACUAAGCACCUAUUUCCGAAUAUUACCAUUUAUUUCCUACUAUAUUGAAAUAUCCGCUCUCGGCAAUUAAGAUCAUGUCUUAUAAUCAAUCUUAUAAGUUUAGCUCGGUUUUGACCAUAAGUUCAAAACUGGAUAUAUAUUCAGCUCAUACACAGUGAAAAGAACAAGAAUUUGAACCAUUUGCGCGCACCCCUUUCCUAAUUGAUUAAACCGCGCAAAUCACAUUAAAUUUUGUCCCUUUUCUUUCAUAGGUAUUACUGUCAAAACUAAUCCAUCUAAGAGGUUCAUAAUUCAGGAAUUGACACCUAAUUCAUACCUAAGUCGAGGUACUAACAACUUGACGUUACAGAAGCAGUAUAUAGAAGUUACAGGUUCAAUCUAAUAACCUAAAUGGCUUAAGAACAGUUCAGGUCCAGGAAGUAUAUUCUUAUUAUAUUUACAUAUUGUUAUUGGUAUUCCUUAAUGGUAACAUGGCAGAUCUAAUUUAAUACAACCCCAAAUCAUGGUCUGAACCUAUGAGUUCUUUUUUUUUUUCGCUAAUGAAACCACUUUAUUAAACUGCAAUUAAAGGUUUGACAGAAUUACAAAUCCAUUCUGGUGGUGGUACACUUUCUAUCCUACUAGCCCAUGCUGCCAAAUUGUGAGCAUAGUUAUUCACAUUCCUAGAGCACCACCUGAAAUUACAAAAAAAAAGCAACUAAGAGAAGCUAAAAUAGUUCUACUGAUGCUUUGAGCUUUCCAUCCAGCUUGUGAUUCUUCACCUUUCAGUAAAGCAAUAACAUUCUUGUUAUCUCCUUCAAAAAUCAGAUUAUUUAGAUCAUGGGCUAGAGCCAUUUGAACUCCAACUUCUGCUGCAACCAUCUCUGCUUUAAACUUUCUGUACGCUCAUGCUAUAAUGUUUCCUUCUGAAUUUCUGCACACUGUACCUGCUGCUGCAUCUCCUGUUAAUCUGUUGAAGGCACCAUCAAAAUUGAUUUUUAGAUACCCAGGUGGCGGUGAGAUCCGAUUAGCCCCAUCAUGUGUAUUAUCUUCUAUCCCUUCCUCAUUGUUACAUGCUCUAUCAGACAACAUUGUACAAGAUAAAGAAUCGGUCCACAAUCUUCAAUAAUGUAACGCCCCGGGAUUUUGUCCUCGCUCAUCCCGGUGCGUCGAGCACCAUACCGCUCGCUAAUGUCAAUAUUGUCCCCUUUUAGUCACUGCGGAUAUCCAGCAGUAGAGGGUUUUGGAUCAGGGCCCACCCAUGUGGUUCACCCCAAAAGGCCUUGACAUUAGUUAGAAUAUGGUUAAGCUCUAUAUACUACCAAUACAACCACUUCCUUGGCAAUGUGGGACUAACACCAACUCAUGGGUGUUACAAAUAACCUGAACAAUUAUUUAAAAUAUCGCCAUGCUCGAAAUGCUUCCUUUCAAACUUGCAUAAGUUCCUGCACUUCCAAAUAAAGUAUAACAGGAAUAUAGCAUAUGUAAGAUGGUAUGAAUCUGUUUUGGACUCGACUGCAUGCCAUUUUAAGAACUGAACAAGACAAUCCUUGAUGAACCAAUCUUUAUUUUCAGCCACCAGCAAAUUUAGAGGGCUCAAGAACCAGAGCCUUUGCACACAAUCGCACUUGAGGAAGCAAUGUUCUGCAUCUUCCACAACUCUUUGGCACCAAGAACACAUGAAAUCACCGGUCAUUUUCCUAUGUAACAACCUGUCACCUGUAGGCAAACAUCCCAUGUAUUAACCUAUUUCUAGAUCAAUGCAUUCACUAGGUCAGGUCGUUAACAGACUUAACCAAUGGGGGGAGUUUUAGAUCGGGGUGGCUGCACCUCGUUGAGAUUGAGAUUGCCUACGUACUCUAGUUUGUCGGGAUUGAACUUAGAGAUCAAGCCAUCGUAGUUCUGUUUAUAUAGAAGGUGAAGAGGCGAAGAUCUUGGGAUCCUGCAGAUUCUCCGACAUAUUUAUGGUGAUAUAAUAUUUUCCAGCGAUUGUGUAACGGUUGUGAUGAUCGGACAACGGUUGGAGAGAAUAUCUUGUGCGCCGAAUUAGGGCACGUGCGUAUUAGCAGACCGCUGCUGAUUAUGUAGUCGAGUUGUUGUGGUCGAGCUAUGAGUAAGUCGAGAUCGUAGCGACCUGAUGGAUUAACGACUAUGCCACGUGGCUGCUUUUUAUUGGUUGGAGUAUAUAGUCCCCCUACAUAAGCCCCCUUUUUUUAGGUCGGCUGUAGAAGUCGAGCUGAAAAGACUAAGAACUCUGAUUGAUGUUGAUUUGAAGUUUGCUUUUUGAAUUUGCGGACGUGGCAGUCAUGCAGGCUUGUCUGUAAUAAUCAUUGCGUUCUUACGGGGAAGGGGAGGAGUUUCCUGGAGCAGUUAGCCGUGUAGUUAUGGCAACUGAUGCACUUCUUGCUUGAUUAGGUCUUUGCGUGGCACGUGGAUUGAUCCGACGGUGGAUGUGAAUCGUUUAGUUAGUGGAAAAUAACUGCAAGGAACGUGGCUCCCCUGCUCGAUCUCGGUCGUUCAUCUGUUUCGAACCGAUGGCUGGGAUUACACGUGCUACAGUAUUUAAACUGUGGGUUGCUUGAGAAGGGUUUACCUAUCUCAUUUUCUUUGUUGAACUGCUGCCACAUUUCUCUUGCGAUCUGAAGAUUUUUGAGAGCUCGUGAGGUUAGUUGCUUCUGUUUCUUUGUUUGUUGAAUUUUUUUCUCUUUGCAUCCUUUUGUUUUCUUUUCUGUUGCUUGAGAGAGAUGUCUGAGGCAAGUGGUUCUCAGAAUGAGAACUUGAGUGGUGAUGGUGGUGAGGAAUAUGAGUCUGAAAGGACUUAUUCUGAGACUGCGUCUCCUAGUCGGGGUGAAGGAGAUGUAGAUCCUGAAAGCCCCUAGAGUAGUGGUUCUCAUGGGGAGGACACAUCUGAUGAUGAAAUGGUGGAAGGGGACGAAGGUUCAUUCUGUAGAGUAGUGAAUCCGAAGUAUGUCCAUAGGCAUAUUGCAUUUAGGAAGCAGUAUGCGCUUAGCUCGAUUGAGCAUUUGGAGAUUAGGUUUUUAGGAGAUCGUUUACUUUCUGCUGAGUAUCGACCUAAGAACCUUUUCUCCACUGUGUUUACCAUGACCCAAUUCUGAGCUGGGCUAAGGUUGCCUUUAUCUUGUUUGGUGGUCGACCUGUUGAAUGCUAUCGGUCGAGCUCCUUGCCAGAUGAAUGGCAAUUUCUGGAGAAACAUAAGGGUAAUUGAUGACCUCAACAAGUUGCAUAAGUGGAGCAUCACUGUAAAUAAUGUAUUGGACCACUUUAGUUUUAAACGUUCUUCGAAGGUCGAGUUUGCGGGCUAUAAUAUGCAAGUUAGGCCAGAACGUUUGCCUUUGAUCUAUCCGGUGAGUAGUGAGCAAUGGUGGAAAGAUCCCAUGCUGAUUACUGGGUCGAUUACUGAAGGGAGUAUCCAGUUGUGUCAUGUGACUAGGAAUGAUACUCGUAAGUUUCUGGUUGUUAGUCUUAAGAUUGUAGAUGAUUUUCUUAUUUCCGAACUUGCUGACUUUGUAUUGUAUUUGCAGCGAUCAGGGACGAUCACUUGGUGAGAAAGAACGAUCUGAAGUCUGCUCUGAACGGCUUCGGUUUGUGGGCUGAUAGUUGGAAGAUACAGUUCUUACCCCACCUGAGAGAGCAUUUUAUUCCCAAAGGUGGUCCAAAAACAGUUGAAGAGGAACUCGAGAGGAGGAAGUUGCUGAAGAAGACCUUUAUGUCGUCUGUACAUAAAGUUGAGGCGGGACGAUCUGGUGGCAGUUCGCGCCCUGGGGAGAAGGAGCGAGCUAGUGGUAG